rnacentral:rRNA from 1 species
UACGUAGGGUGCGAGCGUUGUCCGGAAUUAUUGGGCGUAAAGGGCUCGUAGGCGGUUUGUCGCGUCGGGAGUGAAAACCCAGGGCUUAACCCUGGGCUGGCUUCCGAUACGGGCAGACUAGAGGUAUGCAGGGGAGAACGGAAUUCCUGGUGUAGCGGUGAAGUGCGCAGAUAUCAGGAGGAACACCGGUGGCGAAGGCGGUUCUCUGGGCAUUACCUGACGCUGAGGAGCGAAAGUGUGGGGAGCGAACAGG